GCUUACACAUGCAAGUCGAGGGGCAGCAUUGGAGUAGCAAUACUUCAGAUGGCGACCGGCGCACGGGUGAGUAACACGUAUCCAACCUGCCGCUUACUCGGGGAUAGCCUUUCGAAAGAAAGAUUAAUACCCGAUGGUAUAAAGAGUUCGCAUGUUCUCUUUAUUAAAGAAUUUCGGUUAUCGAUGGGGAUGCGUUCCAUUAGGCAGUUGGUGAGGUAACGGCUCACCAAACCUUCGAUGGAUAGGGGUUCUGAGAGGAAGGUCCCCCACAUUGGAACUGAGACACGGUCCAAACUCCUACGGGAGGCAGCAGUGAGGAAUAUUGGUCAAUGGGCGCAGGCCUGAACCAGCCAAGUAGCGUGAAGGAUGACUGCCCUAUGGGUUGUAAACUUCUUUUAUAUGGGAAUAAAGUUUUCCACGUGUGGAAUUUUGUAUGUACCAUAUGAAUAAGGAUCGGCUAACUCCGUGCCAGCAGCCGCGGUAAUACGGAGGAUCCGAGCGUUAUCCGGAUUUAUUGGGUUUAAAGGGAGCGUAGGUGGACAGUUAAGUCAGUUGUGAAAGUUUGCGGCUCAACCGUAAAAUUGCAGUUGAUACUGGCUGUCUUGAGUACAGUAGAGGUGGGCGGAAUUCGUGGUGUAGCGGUGAAAUGCUUAGAUAUCACGAAGAACUCCGAUUGCGAAGGCAGCUCACUGGACUGCAACUGACACUGAUGCUCGAAAGUGUGGGUAUCAAACAGGAUUAGAUACCCUGGUAGUCCACACAGUAAACGAUGAAUACUCGCUGUUUGCGAUAUACAGUAAGCGGCCAAGCGAAAGCAUUAAGUAUUCCACCUGGGGAGUACGCCGGCAACGGUGAAACUCAAAGGAAUUGACGG
rnacentral:rRNA from 1 species